GACGUAGACCCGAAACCGGGCGACCUACCCAUGAGCAGGAUGAAGCGAAAGUAAAAUUUCGUGGAGGUCCGAACCCACGAGCGUUGAAAAGCUCGGGGAUGACUUGUGGGUAGCGGUGAAAUUCCAAUCGAGCCCGGAGAUAGCUGGUUCUCCCCGAAAUAGCUUUAGGGCUAGCCUCAAGGUGAGAGAUACGGAGGUAGAGCACUGAAUGU
rnacentral:rRNA from 1 species